GGUGAGAUGGCCGAGCGGUCUAAGGCGCCAGACUAAGGAUCAGGGCAUUCGAUGCCCACUCACACUAUCUGGUCCUCCGGGGCGCGAGUUCGAAUCUCGCUCUCAUCA